UCGAACGUUUUUUUUGCACAU
rnacentral:piRNA from 1 species